rnacentral:tRNA from 1 species
GGAGGGUGUAGCUCAGUGGUAGAGUGUGUGUUUAGCAUGCACAAGGUCCUGGGUUCAAUCCCCAGUACCUCCA